rnacentral:tRNA from 1 species
UCUAAUAUGACAGAAAAUCAUGUAAUGGAUUUAAGCCCCAUAUAUAAAGGAAUAACCUUUUUUUAGAA